UCGAAUGAGACAAGGCUACCCGCUGAACUUAAGCAUAUCACUAAGCGGAGGAGAAGAAACUAACCAGGAUGCCCCUAGUAAUGGCGAAUGAAGCGGGCAUAGCUCACGCCGCCAAUCUGAAGGCCUACUCUUAUUACAGAAGCCUUCCGAAUUGUAGUCUAGAAAGGCGCCAUCGGCCGCGUCCGUCGCUCAAAUCCCUUGGAACGGGGUAUCGGAGAAGGUGAGAAUCCUGUGCCGUGGCGGAUAGCGGUCGCACGAUGCGUCCUUGUCGAGUCGGGUUGCUUGGGAUUGCAGCUUGAAGUGGGUGGUAAAUUCCAUCUAAAGCUAAAUACUGGCGAGAGACCGAUAGCGAACAAGUACCGUGAGGGAAAGAUGCAAAGAACUUUGAAAAGAGAGUUAAAGAGUGCUUGAAAUCGGCAAGAGGAAACCCGUUUGCGCCCGGCCUCGCGUCGUCGACUCAGCCGUUCUUUUGAGCGGUGCACUUUGUCGUCGCGGGUCAGCGUUCGCUCUUUCGGCGUGACACGGCGUACCGCAGGGCCUUUUGGCGAUCGGUUCGCACUCUCGCGGGAGGGGCGUUGGCUGACGGAACGGGCGCAACCGACCCGUCUAGUAACACGGACCAAGGAGUCUGACACGUGUGCGAGUACCCGGGUGGCAAGCCCGCGUGCGUAAUGAAAGUGAAGGGCGUGCCCCGCCAACCGACCUUGAUCUUCUGUGAAGGGUUUGAGUGUAGCACAUGCGUCGGGACCCGAAAGAUGGUGAACUAUGCCUGAGGAGGGUGAAGCCAGAGGAAACUCUGGUGGAGGCUCGUAGCGAUACUGACGUGCAAAUCGUUCGUCGAACUUGGGUAUAGGGGCGAAAGACUAAUCGAACCAUCUAGUAGCUGGUUCCCUCCGAAGUUUCCCUUAGGAUAGCUGGAACUUGUAAAUAGUUUUAUCAGGUAAAGCGAAUGAUUAGAAGCUCUGGGGAUGAAACAUCCUCGACUUAUUCUCAAACUUUAAAUAGGUAAGAUAGGAUUAUUACUUAAUUUGAAUAAUCUUAUUGAAUAGAAAGUUCUUAGUGGGCCAUUUUUGGUAAGCAGAACUGGCGAUGUGGGAUGAACCAAACGUUGAGUUAAAGUGCCUAAAAAUACGUUCAUCAGAUACCACAAAAGGUGUUGAUUCAUCUAGACAGUUGGACGGUGGCCAUGGAAGUCGGAAUCCGCUAAGGAGUGUGUAACAACUCACCAACCGAAUGAAUUAGCCCUGAAAAUGGAUGGCGCUUAAACGUAUUACUUAUACUCAACCGUUAAAUUAAAUGCAAAAAUUUAACGAGUAGGAGGGCGUAUUGAUAGUAUUGAAGAUUAUCAGUGAUGGUAAUUAGAACUAUCUUUAGUGCAGAUCUUGGUGGUAGUAGCAAAUAUUCAAUAGAGAACAUUGAAGACUGAAGUGGAGAAAGGUUUCACAUGAACAUCAAUUGUAUGUGAGUUAGUCGAUCCUAAACGGAGGGUUAAUUCCUAUAAAUGAAUAAUUUAUUAUUCUACACCGUGAAAGGGAAACAGGUUAAUAUUCCUGUACUAUAUCAAGGAGCGUUAAAGUGGUAACACAAAUGAUCUCAGAAACAUUGGUAGAAUAACCAGGAAGAGUUCUCUUUUCUUUUUAACA
rnacentral:rRNA from 1 species